UGAGAAGUGAGAGCCCAAACAAUGGACGGAAGUGAACUACCGCUUACGGUUUUCGGUCAGAAAAGUAAUUAUUGCGAAGCGACCAAAGCGAUUUGGAUUAAAAGGCUUACAUAUUCCGAUUCCUUGGACUCUUGGGGAUUUAUUAGAAAUGUUUGUUUUGGAAAAUAUUACCCCAGUGAAGAAAGGGAAGCGUUUAAAGGUGAUAAGACAACUGGACUAGCGCCGCCUAGUUCAGGUGACGAUCAACUUGAUUACAAUUGUAUGACGGCUAUAAAUCAUAUUAUGCUUUGUGUGUGGGCUUAAUAAAAUCCUGAGAGUCUAAGCUUUCAAACAAUAUAAAAUUUAACCGUGUAUUUAGAAGAUUUAAUGCUUAAAAGUUACAAUGAAGUUGAUGCAGCCUCAUCCCCUAGCGGUAGCGUUCCGCCGGCGGGACGGUGUUACGAUAACUGAAUAUCUUGAAGGAGAUUUGGUGAGCUUAAUAGAUGGCCGGGGUUAGCAUGAAAUGGUCGAAGAUUUGCCUUUCAUUGGUGAAUUUAAGAACAGAUGUCCAGCCCUCUUUAAUGAAGUGUCUGUGGCAUUCAGUAGGAUUACAAAGAUCCCUUUGGUGUCCAAAUUCAUGAGUCAGCUCGAUCAUUUCUCAGCUCAGCUCAUCAGUGUUUUCAGCAGGACAGAAGAUCAACAACAUCAUGUCAGUUAUGGAUCAGGAUGUUGAAAAUGAUGAAGCCCAAACCUCGAUGCGCAACACCACCCUAGGAAUCUACGUCAUCAAACCUGAAGGGGUAUAUGCCACAAACCCUUACCAAGAUGUUGUCAUCAUCGUUGAAGGCAUCAAAAUACUUGAAAACCUAAACAAUGUUGCCAAAGCGUGUUCUAUGAUGCUUGGUCUAAUUUAUGCAUUAAGCUUGGCCUACCCACAAGACUUCAGAUACACAUUUGAAACAUUUUAAAAGCUUUUUAUGGAGCUAGAUGCCAACAAGCUGUCAAACAAGGUCCAUGUCCUGAAAAAUAAACUUCUUUUGUAAGUA